GAUUAUUUCUUUCAAGCAUGUGUGGAAUAAGUUUGUCCAAACACCAGUUCCAGUACAUUUGGACACUUUUCGGAUUGGAUAUCCUACUGUUCCGAAGCAGAAUAAUACAUUUGAUUGUGGAGUUUUUGUCAUGAAGUUUAUGGAACUUUGGAGACCUAAGGCUCUUCUUCGCUCUGAAUUUUCUCAAGAUGAUAUACCCAAUAUCAGGAUUCAACUUGUCAACGACCUAGUUUUCAGUGAGCACAAUAUUGUUGAUAAUAGUGUUGUGAGGGACUUCUAUGAAGAGGGAGAUUAUCUCCGAGUUGGACAUGAGGGUAGAAGCUGAUUGUUUCAUUGUACAAAAUGCAGCAACAACACUCUAGAAUUAUUUUGUUUCUCAUUUCAGGAAGAUGAAGAUUAAGGGAUAGUAAUGUGUUCACUGCAUUUCUUGCUAUUUUGUCAAUGUCAAUGUUGCUACAAGACUUAUCUAGGCCAAACAUUUAUCAAACUAUAGAUUCAUAAAAACAAUAAGUAGUCGCGUAGUAGUAUUUUCAAUUACAAAGAGAUCUGGCUGAUACAGCUUGUAAUAGAACAUAUCAGAACAUUUGUCUUACUGCUUUAUGCUCUUGCUACUAUCUACUAAAUGUUUGAUUAUCUUUGACU